rnacentral:rRNA from 1 species
CUACGGGAGGCUGCAGUAGGGAAUCUUGCGCAAUGGGCGAAAGCCUGACGCAGCCAUGCCGCGUGAAUGAUGAAGGUCUUAGGAUUGUAAAAUUCUUUCACCGGGGAAGAUAAUGACGGUACCCGGAGAAGAAGCCCCGGCUAACUUCGUGCCAGCAGCCGCGGUAAUACGAAGGGGGCUAGCGUUGCUCGGAAUUACUGGGCGUAAAGGGCGCGUAGGCGGACAGUUUAGUCAGAGUUGAAAGCCCAGGGCUCAACCUUGGAAUUGCCUUUGAUACUGGCUGUCUUGAGUUCGGGAGAGGUGAGUGGAAUGCCGAGUGUAGAGGUGAAAUUCGUAGAUAUUCGGCGGAACACCAGUGGCGAAGGCGACUCACUGGCCCGAUACUGACGCUGAGGCGCGAAAGCGUGGGGAGCAAACAGGAUUAGAUACCCGGGUAGUC